UCUCAGGGUAAUUGCCUUAGUACGGCGAGUGAAGCGGCAAAAGCUCAAAUUUGAAAUCUGGCACCUUCGGUGUCCGAGUUGUAAUUUGAAGAAGGUAACUUUGGAGUUGGCUCUUGUCUAUGUUCCUUGGAACAGGACGUCACAGAGGGUGAGAAUCCCGUGCGAUGAGAUGCCCAAUUCUAUGUAAAGUGCUUUCGAAGAGUCGAGUUGUUUGGGAAUGCAGCUCUAAGUGGGUGGUAAAUUCCAUCUAAAGCUAAAUAUUGGCGAGAGACCGAUAGCGAACAAGUACAGUGAUGGAAAGAUGAAAAGAACUUUGAAAAGAGAGUGAAAAAGUACGUGAAAUUGUUGAAAGGGAAGGGCUUGAGAUCAGACUUGGUAUUUUGCGAUCCUUUCCUUCUUGGUUGGGUUCCUCGCAGCUUACUGGGCCAGCAUCGGUUUGGAUGGUAGGAUAAUGACUAAGGAAUGUGGCUCUACUUCGGUGGAGUGUUAUAGCCUUGGUUGAUACUGCCUGUCUAGACCGAGGACUGCGUCUUUUGACUAGGAUGUUGGCAUAAUGAUCUUAAGCCACCCGUCUUAACACCCGGGACCAAAAAAAAGAGUUAAAAAAGAAAAAAAAAAGGAGGAAAGAGGAGAGCAAGGCACAGAAAGAGGGCGGUAAUUCGUGGGUCUCUCUCCGAAACCGGGGUUACG
rnacentral:rRNA from 1 species